AAAAUAUUUUUUUUGAAUAUGCUAGGCAGUGCUGGUUUGUCCAGGCCUGGGAAGUGUUUGUUUCGUGAAGGUUUUGUUAAUUCCUUAAGUUAACCGUCACAUUUCUGAUUUUUAUUUGCAUACAAGCACCCGUGGUACCUUUGGUGUUGGGAGCACUUUGACAUUGUUUCUUCGAUGUAGUUAUGUUGUGAUCUUGCGCCAACACUCGCAUCACAAGAGACAUAUUUGCACAGCGCGGUAUCCUUUAGAAGUGUCCAUCCUCUUUUUUCCGGCCUAUAAUACUGCAGUUCUAACUUCUCUCUCUAGCUACCUCUCACAUUGGCACAUGACCUGCGUUGCGCAGGUAAUGCUUGUGUUGCAGUUUGUCUUUCUGUCAGAUUAUGAUCAUCACCCUUUAGGAAGUCUGCAGCGCUUGUGGUGAGAAAGGUGGAACACACCUGCCAGGUGCCUUUAAAAAAAAAAAAUUUUAAUGUCAGUUGCACAGGCACUUUAAGCAUUUUAAGGAUUUAUACUGUUUCGUUUCGCACCCACAAGACGGAGGAAGAAACCGCGCUAAUGAAUUGAACAAAGCGCAAGCUACCAACUGUCUGUCUUGUUCUUUUUCAAUGUGCGCUUACUAUAUGGUGGUAAUUGAGGGUCAUGAGACAGCUUAGCUUAACGUAAAAAAGGUUUAAGAAAAAAAAAAGAUUUUGAAAUGGUGACAAUAAAAAGAGAACUUGGGCCAGCCGAGCUACCUUUGUUUCUGCUAGAUUCUACUCCAAAUUGUGCAGGAAGUAGUGGAACGUUAUGAAUGCAGCUAAAUGGAGUGAUGGAAGGUGCACUUUUUGUGGGUGAGGCAUAAACACUUGCUUUGUAGAAACGUUGGGGUCGAUACAGGUAACUCAUGUCUGCAAACCCCCAAUUUGGGGGGUUUGCUUCUGUGGUGAAACUUCUGUCACCACGGAGGUGUUGCUGCAAAAAAUCUGGCAGGUGAUGGUGCUAGGGAACGCAGUGUGAAAAGCACAUUCAAUUGAAACAAUGAAAUUGUAAAACAUUGUGUAACCUGAAAACCUGAUAAUAUAGGCAUAAUUCUUUUAUAGUCGCGAAGCAAAAUAAUCAUAAUACGCCAUGUUCAGCAUGCACCGCAGGCAAGUACAGUGGCAAUGAAGAAUGGUUAGCAUAAGUGAUCGGUGACUGGAGCGGCAGAAUCGCAUUAUGUGGUGCUACUGCACAGGAAUAGGCAUGCAGCGAGAGUGCUGGGCCCUUCCCAUGUGUGAAGUGUGGGGGAGGUUGGCAGUUACCUACACUAGCAUUCGAGCGGCUGUGAAUCUGUAUGAUAAUCCCUUCGUCUCACAUUCGUUUGAUGGCCAGCCAUCAUUAUUCCCGAACAGCAGCAGAAACUCCACCAAACUAACCUAGAGUGUGAGGAAUGGGAAUGGCCUCUUACUUGUGCUCUAUCAACGUGUCAUGCAGCGUUGCGUACUGCAAUUUUGCCACACUGAUCGCCAGUCAGUCACUUGAGCUAGUAACCUUCCAUUGCCACUAUACACGACAAAUUCGAGAAAGCAGUGUACGCCUUCACCGAAAUUUCAUCCUAGAAGAUUGCAAAUCAAUACACUCAGUUUACUCUGUUUUCUAAUUCACUCUGUCUAGCUGGUGGGAGUUCUCUAGGCGCCAUUCUUUCAAUUGUUUAUCCACUGAAGCCCAGAACGCUGUUAAAAAGGUGCCACUGAAAAGGUUGAACCAGCAGCUGUCAACAUCUGCAAUAAACUGUCGCUGGUAAAGCUUGACAGGUGGCAACUGUAACUGCGCCAGAGGUGGCUCAAAACGUGCACCCUGGCAUAGUGGUGUUAGAGGGUCCAGAAGAGUGCCGGCUCUCCGUUGGCUCAUUUGAAUCGGGAGACGCACACUCGAAAAGUUGGAAGUUUAGGGUAGCGUGUGGAAGGUGCUCGAAGUACUAACCUGAGCUACCGGCUGACUUUGCAUUAAUAGGGGCCAAGCACACUAACCAGUGCUACAAUAAAGAGCUUACUUUGCUGCUUAGGACUGAUUUUCAGUUUUGUAUCACUGUCUCUUGGAGCGCAUUAAAAAAAGACAUUAGGGCAAGCUACUUUCACUCCAAGGUAUCUGCUGCCCCCCUUUUUUUGCACUGAAUUAUGUCUGCAAAGGGUGUGGGUACUGGGGAUAUUACGGUACUUGUGUCCAGUCUUAAAGAAAAGGGCGUUCAACCUGGACACUUCUGCUGCCUUAUUGCAGUAGAAGGGCCUCAGUCAGUGAAAGGAAUAAAAAAAUUUUGCAUGGAAAUCGUAGUGUUGCCAGAUAAUUGUGCACUUUUAACUAACAUCUGCUGAGAGAGGUUUAAAAGAACAGGUAGCAGUAUAGCCUGAUCUAGUGCUUGCGUUUAGUGUUGCUUAUAGCUACUACUGACACAACAUUUUGGACUUGCAAUUUUUCCACGUUAACUGACACUCCAAAUCCUCUAAACAAACACACACAAAAAGAAAAAACUUAAAAAAUAACUGGCAAGUGUCAAAGCACCCUGUAUAACUUACACUUACUAUAAUGCUUGUUUCUACGAACCAGUUCUAAUUAGAGUAUCCAGGAAGUGGUUGCAUCAUGAUGCACUGGCCCGCUCCAUUUCUGCGAUUACUGUAGCACAUGCACAUUUCUUGUGCACAGGCAUAAGAAAUGUGUGCAACCAUCUUGUUCAUUUGUUUAUAAGCAGAGCCAUCGCACUUACCUUUAUUUCUAAGCGGUGCCGGCAAAUUUUUCUCCACGUCCUGAUGUCGCGGUAAUGUUGAUGACGCCAGGUAUGGACGGCAUUUUGAGACCAACAUUAAUAUGAAAUUUUAAAAAUGGGGCAGAACUCAUCUACAAUGACUGUCAAGGUACUUCGCGUAGCAUUAUUUUGGGAUGAUAAUAAAUUUAUUGUAAACUGAAUGGGCGAGCACAAUUUGUCUCCAGAGUGUUGUGGGAGGAAUCCAAGCAGACCGCACUCGAGCGGAUCUUCGUACUGUCACGCUAGCUAUUUUUCUUGACAUAAGUAAUUCAUUCUGCAUUCUGAAAGUAAGGCUUAUUUCAGCUAACCAACAGAAGUGAUUCCUGUCUACAGGUCCUUUAUUCAGAAGUUCUUCAUAACUUAGAUGCCAGCACAUAGUUUUGCAGAAUGCUGACGCUUCCGCCAGUUCUAUGUUCUUCGCAAAAACGGUUAGACACAAAAAAAAAAAGUAGUCUGACAAUGCCAAGAAUGAUAUUUGCAUUAAUAUCUUAUAUUUCAUAACCUUCACAUUUGCAAAGUGUCAUCAUUUUACGUGCGAGAAAUGCAUGGUAGAGUGCCUACGACUUCAGAAAUAAGCAUUGCUACUCCUUUCAAUGCCUCCCUGUUUCUCGAGCACGCUGUUGUGUCGUACUGUGCUUGAUUUUAAUUUUUCUAAACAUGGCAUUUCGACAUUGCAGAUGCGGUAGCACUAGCAUUGAGUAGCAUUAGCGCGCGUAGGAAAAAAAAAAAGCAUUUUGUACUGUUUGUGCCUGCCUGCUGCACUAUUCAAAGCACAUGUUAAUAGGCCACAGUUUUUUCACUUUGAAACAUGUAGUUAGCACUACUAACGUAUAAAGAAUACAGAACUUUUUUUUUUGUCUUGACUACCAUACCUGGAUGUGGAGUUAGUAAUAAGACAUGUCAUGAAGGCAGUAAUGGCACUAGUGGCAAGUAAUGCGAAAACAGCGGUGAAAGGAUUUUCUGAGGUCACAGUAGCAUGUUUACAAAGCAGUUAUCGAUAGGGCUUAGUUUAAUGAACUCUUUCUUUAUGUUGAAAGAAAAUUCAUCAAAUGAUUCAUCAAUUCUAAUUGAAUUAAUUGAAGACAAAUUUAUCAAAUCGAAUAGAACUGAGGCUUAGGAAGUAAGAGAAGAAGGGGAAAAAAUGCUACCUGAUCAGCUUAUGAUGAAAACUUUCAUUUUAGCUAUAUUUAUGUGUUUCAUGUCUAUAACACACUUUUGUGCGAUAUUUAUCGUUAGUGCCGUCUCAUCACACUAGCUCCGGAUCUAGGAGUAAGCACUAUACAUGAUGAUUUAGUAAGGAAAUGCUACAAGACGCCCAUAUUAAGAAAAGCGGGGCAGCCGACCGGCUCAUGCGACGCAUAAGCUUGUGUCAUCUGCUUACUUUUUUAAUGACCAUCUGUGACACUAUUUUAUUCUAAUAUGGGUAUACCUUUUAGCAUUUAUUUGCAGAACUAUUGUGUGCCGAGUCUACUUCUGAAACCGCAGCUUGUGCAGCAGGUGACCCGAGCAUUCAUGCCACUUGUGUGGAAUGAAAAUCACAUGUCGCUUUGUGCCAUGAAUUUCAGCGGUAUUUCUGUCGGUUGUCAGUCUCUGUAAGCCGCAAAUACUGACAAAACUAACUCAGUCCUUCGUACAUGUAUUGAUUUCACCACUUGACCAAGUUGUAUCAGGCACUAUGUUGUUUUGGUUUUAUCUUUUAUAUACAGCAGUUUCACUUUAAAACAAACCUUGUUACUACAAAUUCUGUGAUAAUCUGGACCUCUAUUCACAAAACUUCUCUAAUGUAAGAGCGUUUCUUCAUUGGCUGAUGCUCAGGUGCCUGUCAGUCAUGGUAGUGAUGGACGAGAUAAUGGAAACAUCCCUAUGGUGAUGUCCAAUCAUGGAUAGCACUUACAUAAGUAAUGUUUCGUGAUUGUGGAGCCAGAGCUGUUUGAGUAUCUUUCUUCAGUUUCCUUUAAAUUCAGUGUUAAGCUGAACGUUUGAUAAGGCAAAUAGAUAAGGCUAACAGAAAGCUUGCUACUUGGUGGCCCAAGUGUAAGUUGUGUUAAUCAGUAGUAAUUUCAUUGACCUGCUACUUGAAAGAAAAAAGAAUGCAGAAGUCAUAACUGCUUGCAUAUUAUAGUCAGCAGCCAACACAGCGACACAUAAUUGUAAUUCCCAAUGAGGCAGGCCACUUUUGCUUAACAUCUUUCUUUACAUUGCUGUGUGUGGAUGUGAUAGCACCUGGUGUGUUUGGAGUAUUUACACUAGCUGUUUAUAGCUGACAACUUUGUGUGCUGCAAUGCACCCAGGACAUUCAAUUACGUUGCUGAUAGUUAUUGUACGCAAAAAUCCUCUUUAUAGCUGACAACUUUAUGUGCUAAUGCACCCAGCACACUCGAUUAUGUUGCUGAUGUUUACUGUAUGCAAAAAUUCCCUUAUGUGAGCCUUUACUUAAAUCUCCAGCGAUAAAUCUUGCUGUAAAAUUUUUCUGCACUGUUAUUUGCCCACAAUAUUUCAAAUAUCUUAGAUCCUGUAAAACUGACUUCUGAUUCGAAAAGGCUUUUAUGAAAUGGCUUGCAUACCACAGUCUACUUCCAGUAACCCAGCAUUGGUUGAUUUAACCUGUUUUGUAAUUUCAGCAGUGUGUAGACAUUUCGAAAAGUGCGCUUUGUUCGAUGUGUCUUCUUAAUUGACAUAGGUAAUUUGAUUGUGUUUUGCAUCUGCUGUCAGGGCUGAAUUAACUGUACAAAAUAAUGUGUAUUCAUCUUGAGAUUACCCCAAUUUCAUUUUGCAAAGAACCCGACCAAAGGAGGUUAUAAAAACAUCAUAGCCCAUAUCGCGCAUGACUAACACAAUUUCCUGUUUGAUCCGCUGUCUUAUUAACGGCACGAAGCAGUGACUGUCAAGUUUCUGAUAGCGGGGAGACUUGCAGUUAGCAUUCAUCCUGUCACAAAUUCUUUAAAGUGCCCUUGAAGCUGGGAGCAUAAAAAAAAACUGUCAUAUUUGAUAUGACAAAGCCUUUCUCCAUCAAGACAGUUGAUUUUCUGGCAUGAACUCAACAUCCUGCACAUAGCUCACCUUAGCUUUUGCACCAAUAGCUGAGUGUACGCUGGACAUUAGAGUGAAUUGGUUUAAUGAUUAAGCACCUGAUUUCCUUUCUGAAUGUAGGGCACAUUUUCAGUUCUCAUGCUGCCACCACCACGCAGAGUCAAUGUGAUGGAGCAUAGUUUCGAGUGAAUCAGACUUGCAAUCGGAACGAGGCCCCUUGAAGUGAUCCGUAAACUACUGGCAUGGAGGUCUCGAAUUUUUCGCUCGCCCUUUUUCACUGGUAGCGGGAUCAAACCCCCUUGUCUUGCUGCACACUGUGGCUCGAUUUUCUAACGGUUUGGAAAGCGAACUGUUCGCUUGCCCUUGCAUGAUUGGUCAGAAUCUUGCUGUCGUCAACGCAAAAGCACCAUUCUGCCCAGUCACACGAGGACAAGCAAAUGGUUUGCUUUCCGGACAGUCGCUAAAUUGCACCCUCAAGAUCCCCACAUGGUCACGAUGACUUCCACAGAAGCACUUUUGUUGGUUGUGAGAAAGUUUGUGGCAUCCGGUGAACGAAACUGGCAUUGUUGGGACUAGAGAAAGCGAAAAGAGAGAAACGUAUGGCCAUGACAUUAGUGCGCCCGACGAUUUCUUGCAUUCUUGCAAGGGGUCGCCGAGUGGAUGCCUGCAGGAAGGCAGGACAAGUUCUUGAUAAGGUAGGCAUAUGGGAACAUGCGCUUUUCGCUUGCACGAGAAUGUGGAAAGGAUUCAGGUCCCUCAUCUGUCCACUGCAUGCGAUGCAAAUGCAUUUAGGGCCCCCUUGAAUAUGCACCAGAGAACGGACAAGGACAUGACUGUUGGACAUAGAUGUCUCUAGUUUGUACUGCACAUGGAACAUUGAAGCACUGAAGAAUGUGAAAGACUUGAGAUCUGUCAUUGGCAGAGCUGCGCAUUUCACUACUAGGGCAGCGUGUAUACCAGAAAGUUGCAGUGAUUGUUUUUAUUUGAUUAUGAUCCUUUAGAACUGGCCUUGCAAGUGAAUAAACAUGCAGACAGCACCGUUACACAAGAGUUUUUGGCUGCGCAAAUGUGAACUUUUAACUAGGACUUACCACAAUUUUUACAGAUGCAGCUGUUGAGACGUUCAGUGAAUUGCAGGCAGAUUAAAAUGUGCGCGUCUGGUAAUAUAACAGAAGUGAAAAGGGUAUUGCCACUGCUGACCGUCAGUGCGAAAAAAUAGUUCUUGUCGCAGUACAAUUCUGUGCAAGAGAAACCAAAUGCAUAAGUGUGCUUGAUGUUGCAAAAGUGCACUUAAAUUGCUGCAUGCAACAUAUGGAAAUUUUUGUUAACAGCCUAAUGUCAUGGUGCCGGCAGUGUCUAUAUCGACUAUCGAAGAUGGUUUGUAAGAAUGCAGUUGUCGUCAAUAAUGUGCGUGAAACAAGUUCCUGGAAAAGAAACCCAAUGUUGAGAGCUGUUGCUGUUGCAGAUGUUGGCAAAGUGUUGGUUUUCAAUAGUACUGCUGGAAUAGCAAUUUUUGCAUCCAUUUGUCUAUGGUGAUAGGUGGUUUGGCCAUACAGCGCAUGUGCUGCUGUUAAGAGAAGGGUGUUUGUUGCGUGCAGUCGAAAGUCUAUUCUGCGUGAAAGAGGAAAGGUAGCUGUUGUUGUUGAGGUGGCGUUUUUGCUGCCACUGUGAUUGACGAGUUCCCAGGUUUAUCCUGCAGUUGAUGCAAGCAGUUAUGCACAGUGUGCUGCACAGAAUAGUGACGACACGUACCCAUAUUUUUGUUAGAAAGCGAGCAUUUGUGGCCGCUUAUUCAUUUGUUACGUCUGCCUGUUUUGUGUUUCGCCAGUGCUGGAGUCCUCACUCAAAUGGAAUUGCAGCAGAUGUGACUGUUUGCUUCAUUUUAUUCUUUAGCUCACUUAACGGU
rnacentral:lncRNA from 1 species